GAUGAACGCUAGCUACAGGCUUAACACAUGCAAGUCGAGGGGCAGCAUGAACAAAGCUUGCUUUGUUUGAUGGCGACCGGCGCACGGGUGCGUAACACGUAUCCAAUCUGCCCGCGGAUCGGGGAUAGCCCAUCGAAAGAUGGAUUAAUACCCGAUGGCGUGGUCACUCCGCAUGGAGUUUCCACUAAAGGUUUUCCGGCCGCGGAUGAGGAUGCGUAUGAUUAGGUAGUAGGCGGGGUAACGGCCCACCUAGCCUUCGAUCAUUAGGGGUUCUGAGAGGAAGGUCCCCCACACUGGAACUGAGACACGGUCCAGACUCCUACGGGAGGCAGCAGUGAGGAAUAUUGGUCAAUGGGCGAGAGCCUGAACCAGCCAAGUAGCGUGAAGGAAGACUGCCCUAUGGGUUGUAAACUUCCUUUGUUCGGGAAUAAAGUGCAGUAUGUAUACUGUUUUGUAUGUACCGUUCGAAUAAGCAUCGGCUAAUUCCGUGCCAGCAGCCGCCGUAAGAC
rnacentral:rRNA from 1 species